rnacentral:rRNA from 1 species
UACAGAGGGUGCGAGCGUUGUCCGGAAUUACUGGGCGUAAAGGGUCUGUAGGUGGCCAACUAAGUCAGACGUGAAAUCCCUCAGCUUAACUGGGGAACUGCGUCUGAUACUGGUUGGCUUGAGUGCAGGAGAGGAAUGCGGAAUUCCAGGUGUAGCGGUGAAAUGCGUAGAUAUCUGGAGGAACACCGGUGGCGAAGGCGGCAUUCUGGACUGCAACUGACACUGAAAGACGAAAGCCAGGGGAGCAAACGGG